rnacentral:rRNA from 1 species
CCUACGGGAGGCAGCAGUAAGGAAUAUUGGUCAAUGGGGGCAACCCUGAACCAGCCAUGCCGCGUGCAGGAUGAAGGCCCUAUGGGUCGUAAACUGCUUUUAUACCGGAGAAAACCCCCGUACGUGUACGGGUUGGAUAGUAUGGUAAGAAUAAGCAUCGGCUAACUUCGUGCCAGCAGCCGCGGUAAGACGAAGGAUGCAAGCGUUAUCCGGAUUCAUUGGGUUUAAAGGGUGCGUAGGCGGACCUGUAAGUCAGUGGUGAAAUCUCUUUGCUUAACAAAGAAACUGCCAUUGAUACUGCAAGUCUAGAGUAUAGAUGACGUUGGCGGAAUAUGACAUGUAGUGGUGAAAUACUUAGAUAUGUCAUAGAACACCGAUUGCGAAGGCAGCUAACGAAACUAUAACUGACGCUGAGGCACGAAAGUGCGGGGAUCAAACAGGAUUAGAUACCCUGGUAGUCCGCACCGUAAACGAUGAUUACUCGUUGUUGGCAAUAUGACCGUCACGCGACCACGACGAACGACGAGUAAGUAAAGUACCGACCGUACGGGACGGGUACGGUAACCGGCCGGAACCGGUUACGGUUAAACGUUAAAACGGUUAAAGGUUAAGGUUACGGCGGUUGGAGGACGUUACGCCGACGGACGGACCGACCGACGGGAGGGAGGNGG